CCGGAAGCAGCGGGUUGAGGAGAGUGCGCAAGGGAAUACGAAGUCAAAGCAGAAGAGUUUCAAGAAGAAGGAGUACUCAACAGCAUCAAGGAAACAAGUGAGUGAGAGAAAGUCCAGCUACUUCAUUAUACGAGACAGGGCAGAAAAUUGCCUUAGAAAUACUGAGGAAUUCUUUUGGAAAAGUUACCUUGGAAACUCUGAGAUUGGCCCCAGUGGUCCAGAAAGAAGUUAGUUGCCAAGGGCUCAUGAGAUUACACAGAGCUAACUUUAAGUAAAACUCCAAGAGGCAUCGACAAGCAAUAACAAAGACAAACUAGGUAAUCAUACUCCAGUAUGGUAUUAGAAGAUAUUUAACAACCCCCACACUCUUUGGGGUGAGUAUGACCCUGAGAUGCUUGGUUAAUUCUGGAGCAGAACAAAGAGAAGUGUCCCAAGGAAGAUCCUUGACUAUCAACUCAAUGCAGCAGAUGAAAGUGACCCUCUCCCUACCAGUGUCUGUCCAUAAAUCACAGGAUGUGAUGCCCAAAGCUGCCUACACAUUUCUUCCAGAGGACGUAUGUUUUCUUCUCAAGAUAUAAGCCCUGGGUCUGGGGGCUUGGGGUGCGGCGAUCUACCUAUCUCGUGUAUGCCCAAAACCACACUUCUGUCUGUAAGUUCCCACAAUAAAUUACCCAAAACCAACAAA